rnacentral:rRNA from 1 species
UACAGAGGUCUCAAGCGUUGUUCGGAUUCAUUGGGCGUAAAGGGUGCGUAGGCGGCGCGGUAAGUCGGGUGUGAAAUCUCGGGGCUUAACUCCGAAACUGCAUUCGAUACUGCCGUGCUUGAGGACUGGAGAGGAGACUGGAAUUUACGGUGUAGCGGUGAAAUGCGUAGAUAUCGGAAGGAACAUCAGUGGCGAAAGCGACUUCCUGGACCAAUACUGACGCUCAUGUGCGAAAGCGUGGGGAGCAAACAGG